ACGGCUCAGUAACACGUGGACAACCUGCCCUUAGGUUGGGUAUAAACCCGGGAAACUGGGUAUAAUACCCGAUAGGUCUCGAUUGCUGGAAUGCAUCGAGAUUUAAAGCUCCGGCGCCUAAGGAUGGGUCUGCGGCCUAUCAGGUAGUAGUGGGUGUAGCGUACCUACUAGCCUACGACGGGUACGGGUUGUGAGAGCAAGAGCCCGGAGAUGGAUUCUGAGACACGAAUCCAGGCCCUACGGGGUGCAGCAGGCGCGAAAACUUUACAAUGCUGGCAACAGCGAUAAGGGAACCUCGAGUGCCAGGUUACAAAUCUGGCUGUCGAGAUGCCUAAAAAGCAUUCCAUAGCAAGGGCCGGGCAAGACCGGUGCCAGCCGCCGCGGUAACACCGGCGGCUCGAGUGGUAACCGUUAUUAUUGGGUCUAAAGGGUCUGUAGCCGGCCGGAUAAGUCUCUUGAGAAAUCUGGCAGCUUAACUGUCAGGCUUUCAGGAGAUACUGUCUGGCUCGAGGCCGGGAGAGGUGAGAGGUACUUCAGGGGUAGGGGUGAAAUCUUGUAAUCCUUGAAGGACCACCAGUGGCGAAGGCGUCUCACCAGAACGGACCUGACGGCAAGGGACGAAAGCUAGGGGCACGAACCGGAUUAGAUACCCGGGUAGUCCUAGCCGUAAACGAUACUCGCUAGGUGUCGGCCACGGUGCGACCGUUGUCGGUGCCGUAGGGAAGCCGUGAAGCGAGCCACCUGGGAAGUACGGCCGCAAGGCUGAAACUUAAAGGAAUUGGCGGGGGAGCAC
rnacentral:rRNA from 1 species